UAGAGGAAGUAAAAGUCGUAACAAGGUUUCCGUAGGUGAACCUGCGGAAGGAUCAUUAUUGAAUAAACUUGAGCAGGCUGUUGCUGGCCCCCUGGUGGGGGUAUGUGCACGCUUGUCAUCUUUAUCUCUCCACUGUGCACAUAUUGUAGGCCUGGAAGUGUAUUUUUAUUGUUCAAAUAGAUUGAGGACUGCUUGUCGCUUUCCUUGUUGAUUUCUGGGUCUAUGUUUAUUCUCAACAAACCUCAAUGUGUUUUAGAAUGUUUAAACUGGGUCUUUUGUACCUAUAAAAGUUAUACAACUUUCAGCAACGGAUCUCUUGGCUCUCGCAUCGAUGAAGAACGCAGCGAAAUGCGAUAAGUAAUGUGAAUUGCAGAAUUCAGUGAAUCAUCGAAUCUUUGAACGCACCUUGCGCUCCUUGGUAUUCCGAGGAGCAUGCCUGUUUGAGUGUCAUUAAGUUCUCAACCACACCAUUUAUAAUGAUGUGGCUUGGAUAUGGGUUUGCAGGCUUUGUUUUUGAAAAUGAAGUCGGCUCCCCUGAAAUGUAUUAGUGGUAUCUGAGCAGAAUCUAACCACAGGUGUGAUAAUUAUCUAUGCCUUGGUGUGCUGCAUGAACAGAUUACACUGCUUCUAACAAAGUGAAGCCCUUCUCUGGGCAUGCACGUUUUGACAAAUUUGACCUCAAAUCAGGUAGGACUACCCGCUGAACUUAAGCAUAUCAUA
rnacentral:rRNA from 1 species